AACUGCUGAACAGAAAAAGAUAAGCUUCUGCAGAUUCUGAUCUUGGUUAGUAUGGGUUAAAUCUAAUGUAACUUUACUGAAGUCUUUCAUUUAUGGUGCUGUAACACAGUAUGAACUAUGACCUCUGUACUGGUAAAAUCAAGUGUUUCAUCUGAAAACAUGUUGCCAAGUGUUGCAUGGGAAACAUUCCAAAAUCAAUAGUCUUUGUAACAUUACUGCCACUUCAUAUACUGCCACAAAUCAUAUCUAUGCCUCACACAUGCAAAACAUCCCUAAAUAAGCUAACAUAACUAACAUUUUUAUUUUUUAUUUUUUUUUAGGCAGAAAAUUUGUAACAGAAAGGAACUGCAGAAACAGAACAGUUGCUGCAACACCCUGCAAAGAAGCACAGGAUGGAGACCCACAUGAAGGAAGCAGGAGGAGCAACCAGAACCACAACUGAUGUGAGGAUGAAGGACUGAGUGAAGGGAGAAGAUGGAGUAGAGGCACAGAGGAAAACAUUGUGGGUUGACAAGAGAGGCUCUGUAGGUCUGGGUUGGAGGUGUACGUGGCCUCUGCCAACAACACCAAGGUUGAGCACUCCUGACACCUUGCAGAUUGAUCAAAGGUAAGAUCAAGGUCACUUUAUUUU